ACGGUCCUCGGUAGUGGCUGCCGGAGCCGGGAGACGCCCGUACGGGCGAGGCGCCCGAUCCGGCCGCUUCGAUCGAAGACCG
rnacentral:ncRNA from 1 species